CAACUCUGAUUUAAAAAUAUAAAACUAGCGAGAAAUGAUUGACUUGUUCUACUUAUUUGGUUAUGCAAUUAAGGAUAUGAAAUUGGUUUAGCAAAUAGUUGACUUGUACUACUUGCUUGAAAGUGGUAAAUAUGAAAUUCAAUACAAAAUUAUACCAAAAAGAAUAUAUAUUUUAUGAUAUAUUAGCCGUUAUUGGGUAUGGAUUUAAAUCAAACUGAGAGCAGACAUUGACAUUUCAAAAGGAUAAUGAUCAUAAAAGUUAUGUCAUA